rnacentral:rRNA from 1 species
CAGUACAACAGGGAUGCCCUAGUAACGGCGAGUGAAGCGGCAACAGCUCAAAUUUGAAAUCUGGCGUCUUUGGCGUCCGAGUUGUAAUUUGCAGAGGGCGCUUUGGCAUUGGCAGCGGUCCAAGUUCCUUGGAACAGGACGUCACAGAGGGUGAGAAUCCCGUACGUGGUCGCUAGCCUUUACCGUGUAAAGCCCCUUCGACGAGUCGAGUUGUUUGGGAAUGCAGCUCUAAAUGGGAGGUAAAUUUCUUCUAAAGCUAAAUACUGGCCAGAGACCGAUAGCGCACAAGUAGAGUGAUCGAAAGAUGAAAAGCACUUUGGAAAGAGAGUUAAAAAGCACGUGAAAUUGUUGAAAGGGAAGCGCUUGCAGCCAGACUUGCCUGUAGUUGCUCAUCCGGGUUUUUACCCGGUGCACUCUUCUAUAGGCAGGCCAGCAUCAGUUUGGGCGGUUGGAUAAAGGUCUCUGUCAUGUACCUCUCUUCGGGGAGAACUUAUAGGGGAGACGACAUGCAACCAGCCUGGACUGAGGUCCGCGCAUCUGCUAGGAUGCUGGCGUAAUGGCUGUAAGCGGCCCGUCUUGAAACACGGACCAAGGAGUCUAACAUCUAUGCGAGUGUUUGGGUGUCAAGCCCGAACGCGUAAUGAAAGUGAACGGAGGUGGGAACCUUUCGGGGUGCACCAUCGACCGAUCCUGAUGUCUUCGGAUGGAUUUGAGUAAGAGCAUAGCUGUUGGGACCCGAAAGAUGGUGAACUAUGCUUGAAUAGGGUGAAGCCAGAGGAAACUCUGGUGGAGGCUCGCAGCGGUUCUGACGUGCAAAUCGAUCGUCAAAUUUGGGCAUAGGGGCGAAAGACUAAUCGAA